ACAGCAGCCGCCGCGGUAAUACGAAGGGUGCAAGCGUUAAUCGGAAUUACUGGGCGUAAAGCGUGCGUAGGCGGUGAGUUAAGUCUGCUGUGAAAUCCCCGGGCUCAACCUGGGAAUGGCAGUGGAUACUGGCUCGCUAGAGUGUGUCAGAGGAUGGUGGAAUUCCCGGUGUAGCGGUGAAAUGCGUAGAGAUCGGAAGGAACAUCUGUGGCGAAGGCGACUAUCUGGGCCAACACUGACACUGAGGCACGAAAGCGUGGGGAGCAAACAGGAUUAGAUACCCCGUAGUCCCUGUCUCUUAUACA
rnacentral:rRNA from 1 species